rnacentral:misc_RNA from 1 species
GCACUGUGUUUUAGAAGAACGGACUUUCUUUCCAGAACGUUUCAACUGUGCCAAAAAAAAGAGACUGGUGAUGGCCAAUCUAUGCAAAAGUUUUGUUCGUUCUUUUGCAACUAGUGCACAAAGGGCAAACGCAUUUAAUCAUGUCACUGUCAUUGGAGGAGGGCUGAUGGGUUCAGGUAUUGCUCAGGUUGCAGCAUCAACUGGGCAUACAGUUUCUUUGGUUGACCAAGACAACACCAUCCUUGGCAAGUCUAUGAAUGGCAUCCAUAAAAGUUUGGAAAGAGUCGCCAAAAAGAAGUUUGAGAACCCUGCAGCUGGAGAGGCUUUUGUGAAGGAUACUAUGGGCAGAAUUUCUACAGCAACCAGCCCCAUCACCUGUGUGUCGCACACUGAUCUCGUCAUAGAGGCAAUCGUCGAAAACCUGGAAACAAAAAAGAAGCUGUUCAGAGAGCUGGAAGCGGUUGCUCCAGAGUAAACAAAUUACCCUUCAUUUCUUUUCAUCUUAAAUUUAUAGCACACCAUCUUCACCAGUAACACCUCCUCCAUUCCCAUAACCGAUAUUGCUGUCGCUGCUAAGCGGAAGGACAGGUUUGGAGGAUUACACUUUUUCAAUCCAGUACCCAUGAUGAAGCUGUUGGAGGUUAUUAGGAUUCCAGCCACAAGUGAUGCUACGUUUGACAAAUUAUUGGCCUUCGGAAAAGAUAUGGAGAAGGUCACAGUCUCUUGUAAGGAUACUCCAGGAUUCAUUGUGAACAGAUUGUUGGUGCCUUACAUGCUGGAAGCAGUCAGAAUGGUGGAAAGAGGUGAUGCCUCUAUUCAAGAUGUGGACACUGCUAUGAAGCUCGGAGCUGGGUAUCCCAUGGGGCCUUUUGAACUGAGCGAUUACGUAGGACUGGACACUAUGAAGUUUAUUCUAGAUGGCUGGAGCAAGAACUACCCUGACAACCCACUCUUUAAACCAAGUUCUCUCUUGGAUAAAAUGGUGGCUCAAGGAAAACUAGGAAGGAAGAGCGGUGAGGGAUUCUAUCCCUACAAGAAGUAAAGCUGUGAUCAGAAAUGUCCGUUUUGGCAGUCUCGUGUCAUACUCAUCAAAGUGCUAAUCAUGGAACAGUGUUGUGGGGCAUUGUUUAUAGUCUCAAAGACUACUGAUGUUUGAUAGUAAACAAUUUUUGUUUUAUAAAAAAAGUUUCAUAAAGUUUGUCAAAUCAAUGUG